rnacentral:rRNA from 1 species
UACGUAGGUGGCAAGCGUUGUCCGGAUUUACUGGGCGUAAAGAGCGCGCAGGCGGUCGGAUCAGUCGAAUGUGAAAGCCCCCCGGCUCAACUGGGGAGGGUCAUUCGAUACUGUCCGACUCGAAGGCAGGAGAGGGAAGCGGAAUUCCCGGUGUAGUGGUGAAAUGUGUAGAGAUCGGGAGGAACACCGGUGGCGAAGGCGGCCUUCUGGACGGUGACUGACGCUGAGCGCGAAAGCGUGGGGAGCAAACGGGAUUGAGAACCUACCGGA